rnacentral:tRNA from 1 species
GAUUCCUUAACUUAAUGGUAAAGUGUAUUUUGAUAAGAAUAAAAUCAGUGUUCAAUUCACUGAGGAAUUA